rnacentral:lncRNA from 1 species
GCGCCGCCGCGAAAACGAGUAAAGAAAAAUCCAAAACUCGGCGAAGGUUGAGAAAGGAGAAAGGUGAGAGAUGCAAUCCCAAGGAAUAUGGAGCACACUAUGGAGGAAAUACGCAGAUUAUAAGUACAACAAGUUCGAGAGGUUCGCUGUCUGGGAGAUGAUCGAGCCUUACCGUCGACCCAAAACCUUCACAGCUUUGAUUACUAUCUACGUCGCCGCCUUUUACACCGGCGUCAUCGGGGCUGCGGUUACAGAGCAGCUUUACAAGGUAACCUUCGCCAGUGUUAUCGAUUCCACUCGGGUUGUGAUUAGAUUUUGUGGGUUUCUCGUGAUUUGCAAUUCUAGGGUUUCGAAUUGGGAUAAAGUUGAAACCUUUCUUUUGGUGAUGAUCGAGAUUUAGGGAUAAAGUUGAAACCUUUCUUACACUGUUUGAUGUGAACCAAUUACAAGACUAAAGUUAUGCUUCUUGUUCUUCUGUAUGCUUAUGGUUACUCCACUGAUAUUAUAUAAACAGGAGAAGUUUUGGGAAGAGCACCCAGGCAAAACGGUGCCUCUGAUGAAGCCAUUGUACUAUCGAGGACCAUGGAGGGUUUAUCGUGGUGAAGCUAUUGCUUCUGAUGCUAGCAGCAGCCAGUGAGGGUGCUGAGCUUCGCUGGUAUAUAUACAAAACAACUUUGUGUUCUGUAGAAUGCUUGUGUCGCCCCUACUUUGAGUUGUUUCUAGGUUUAUAUGAAUUAAAGCUGGCUGGUAUAUUUUUCUUGUAGACAAUAAGGUUAAGAAUUUGAUUCUUGAAACUCAUGUAAUGGCAGUCUUUGUUAUAACAUUAAGGUUUUGCUAUGAGAAGUUUAAGGGUUUCCAUCCACUCCUUUGAAUCUCUCUCUCUCUCUCCCCUUUCCAUUAUUAGUACAUUGGUAUCUACCUCUCUUCUGGUGUCCUGAAAUAAAACAUUCCAAAUGAGAGAGACGUUCUAACCACCUCAGAAACAUCGAGCCACCAUAGAUUUAUCUCUUGACAGUCUUGUCUUCAUAUAGGUUCCUUUGGUUUUAUUCUCUGUUUCUCUCUUCUUGUCUUGGUGGUCGUUUGUGAUCGAAUAUGACAACGUACGGCACUAUACCAUCCCAAGCAAAUGCCGUCCCGAACCAGAGCAUGUUGGGACGAGCAAAAGGGUUGAUCUCGUUAGGCCUUAGCUCUCGGAGACCAUGGCUUGAACUUGUCCAGUGGAGCUCCCUUAGCCUUCCUACCUCAUUCACUGUUGCCACAGAACGAAUCAAAACCAACAUCAUGAUCUUCCGAACCAACUAUCUUGUCAUCUUCGUUGUUGCUAUCUUCAUCAGCAUGCUUUGGCAGCCUGUCCACCUCUCAGUCUUCGUUGUCCUGAUCAUCGCAUGGCUAUAUGUCUACUCCCGGGAUAACGAACCACUGGUGAUAUUUGGCAGUGUGAUCGAUGACUCUGCUUUGGUGCUGACUUUGUUGGUCCUCACGCUCUGUAUUAUUCUAUUAACUAACGUAACCGGUGGUAUUCUGCUCGCGGUUUUGGCUGGUCUGCCCGUUGUUCUAGUGCAUGGCAUGUGUAGGAAUACAGAGUCAUUGUUCGUCUUGGAAGAUGAUGAAGAGAAAGUAGCCACAAUGAGCGUAGUAUCCUCCUCGCUUUCUUCUUCCUCUUUAACAAAAUGAAACAUUAUGUUUAUGUAAUGAUACAAGUUUCAGACCUUAGUGACACCAUAUUUAGCUAGUCUCUAGGUACUACCAUAUUUUCUAAAAAAUUGCUUGUGGGCGUAAUAAAUAUUCUCUUCUUCUCUGAAUGCAAAUAGUAUGAUAGAAAAACUUUGGAGAUCUUUGCAAUUCCAGUAUAGAAUACUUGUUUUAAUAAAUCCAGAUAAAAGUAGUUUCAUGUAUUUUAUGUAAAUAGUCAAUUCUAUACAUCAAUCUUUUACUCUUUUUCUUUGAAAUUGCACACUUACUGGUACCAUUAAAAUCACUGCAGUGGCAGUACCAUUAAUUAAAAGGUAUUACUAUUUAUUAUAUGAACCCAAUAAGAAAAUAAACAUUCUAUAUAAUUAUUAAAGUUGAUAUCAUUAUCCUUCAAUAUUGUAGUAAUUGUAAUUGCCCUACUGGGUUAUAGUUUUACCUUACAUUUUUUCGUAAUAUUUUAUUUAAUAAGAAUUUUCCUUGCGUUUCCGCUAUAUUUUCAUAGUUCUUAGGAGUUACUUGUCUAGUGGCAAAUCGCAAUGGAAGACAUUAGUAAGGCCGUUGCCAUUGGAUAACUUCUUUAAAAUCAUCCUCUUUGUCUUCUCGUGACUAAUAACCAAGACAUAUUUCUUCUCCACCAAAACUGCUUGAACAAUAUUAUUGAACUCUGUGCCUCCUCCUCUAGCCACAAAAGCUAUUAGUAGUUUAUUUGAAAAGGCUAAUUUUUAUAUUGAUUGAUUGUUGCGUUGGUUACGUCACUGUGGUGUUAUAUACCUUCUAUAUAUGAAUCAUAUACAGAAUAUGUUUUUGAGAGAUUUGAAAAAAUACUACAAUGAUUAUCAUCAGGUCCAUAAUAUACGUAAAUCUUCACUAGUUUUGAAAAAAAAUAUGAGAAAAGCAAAAAAAAAAGCAAAAUAUUGUCAAAAUACAAUAAAAUUAUGAUAAAAAUAAAUUUAAAAUAGAAAAUAUUAUCAAGUAAAUAUGAUAUAAAAUAGAUUAAACCCAAUAAUAGAUAUAAUUGUUAAUAAUUAGUUGAUUAAUACAAAUAUAGAAAUAAACUAUAUUUUGUUAACUAUUUGAGUAAAGUAAAAAAUAAUUGUUAGGAUCUUGAAGAUUUGUAACAUGAACACUAACUCUUUAACUGUAGUUCAAAAAAAGAAAAAAAGUCAAAACACUAACUCAUUAACUUAAAUGAGUUAUGGACUAACAUAUAAGAUCAAAACUAUUUAGAUAUAGUUUCAAUAGAAUAUCACAUGUGUGUAUUCUAAAAUCAAUACUAUUAAAACAGUAACACGAAAUAUGGACCUAACUUGAUCCUAGGUAGAGUAUUUAAAAAAACUAUAUCUUAUACAAUUUAACUAACAUGUAAUGUUAUUAACUAUAUAUCUUUAAAUAUAGUUUAAAUAUGGUAAGAUUUAAAGAAAUAAAUCUAAACAAAUAUCUCAGUCAAUUAUGUAUUAAUUGAGAUCUUACAUAUCAAAUUCCUUUUAAUGCAACUAUAAUAAAUUAUAUUUUGAAAUAUUUCUGACAUUUUAAAGCUUAGUUCUCAUUCUCAAACAAUAUAAAUAAGAAAAAAAAAUUAAUAUAUGCAGCAUUGGUCCAGCCAAGGGACCUGAAGGGUUUACCUUGGAAUCUCUAUCCGUGCAGACGAAUGCAGCCCAACCAGCUGGAUCAAGUUGAAAUGUCACAUUGGUAGAUUUAUUACUGCAACAAUCUAUGGUUGCUCAAGCAAACACUGAGCUUACUAUUCUGUAAAUCUGUCAAUUGUGUUGGUAUAAAAGAAUCCUUCCCGAAGCAUGUUAUGAUACUUUUGCGAAUAGACAAAUCGCACAUGUAUCUUAACUAACUGCUUUAUAAUUUGCUUCCAAAGCAAAGCUUAUUGAUGUAUGAUGCAUGUGUGAGGUUUAAUAUAAGACAAUGAGUACAAAAUUUUCAAUUUAUAUUAUUAUAUACUUACAAAGUAUGUAGUUUGUGUAAUCUUUGCUCUGCUCUUUUGAUCUUUCAAUAUAAUCUUUCAGUGAAAAAAAAAAGAACUAACAAAGUCUGAGCUCAAGACUCAAGUGGAAGUAAAGAUAAGUCAAGGGGCCAAAACCCAAACGUAAUAGGACUAUGAGGACUGUUUGAUAAAUAUUUUAACGAUUAAAGUCUUUUUUUUUUUAUCUGUGUCUGUUUCCAGAUUCACGCGCCGCCGCGAAAACGAGUAAAGAAAAAUCCAAAACUCGGCGAAGGUUGAGAAAGGAGAAAGGUGAGAGAUGCAAUCCCAAGGAAUAUGGAGCACACUAUGGAGGAAAUACGCAGAUUAUAAGUACAACAAGUUCGAGAGGUUCGCUGUCUGGGAGAUGAUCGAGCCUUACCGUCGACCCAAAACCUUCACAGCUUUGAUUACUAUCUACGUCGCCGCCUUUUACACCGGCGUCAUCGGGGCUGCGGUUACAGAGCAGCUUUACAAGGUAACCUUCGCCAGUGUUAUCGAUUCCACUCGGGUUGUGAUUAGAUUUUGUGGGUUUCUCGUGAUUUGCAAUUCUAGGGUUUCGAAUUGGGAUAAAGUUGAAACCUUUCUUUUGGUGAUGAUCGAGAUUUAGGGAUAAAGUUGAAACCUUUCUUACACUGUUUGAUGUGAACCAAUUACAAGACUAAAGUUAUGCUUCUUGUUCUUCUGUAUGCUUAUGGUUACUCCACUGAUAUUAUAUAAACAGGAG